rnacentral:lncRNA from 1 species
UACGAUUUGUACAGGCAUUUCUGACAGUAAGGGUAGAUUCUUAGUAAUUCUAACCUUCCAUAUCAACAUUGUAUAUCCCUUAUCCCUUGCCAUAGUAUCUUUGCCAUCGUAUCUUUAUUUUUUUAUUUUUUCAGUGACAUAUUAUUCAUAUAAUCAUUUUCGUAAUUAUCAUUACAUUUUCUCUUGCAUUGCCAUAGCAUUUUCAAUUAUUCAUCAGUUACACAUUUUGUUCACAUUAAUAUUCCUUUUGUUUACGACUAUAUUCUUAUCAUUAUUUUGCUAUAACAUUAAUCUAACUUUAUUAUAAUAACUUGACCAUUUG